ACGAACGCUGGCGGCGUGCCUAAUACAUGCAAGUCGAGCGAGCGGAACUAACAGAUUUACUUCGGUAAUGACGUUAGGAAAGCGAGCGGCGGAUGGGUGAGUAACACGUGGGGAACCUGCCCCAUAGUCUGGGAUACCACUUGGAAACAGGUGCUAAUACCGGAUAAGAAAGCAGAUCGCAUGAUCAGCUUUUAAAAGGCGGCGUAAGCUGUCGCUAUGGGAUGGCCCCGCGGUGCAUUAGCUAGUUGGUAAGGUAAAGGCUUACCAAGGCGAUGAUGCAUAGCCGAGUUGAGAGACUGAUCGGCCACAUUGGGACUGAGACACGGCCCAAACUCCUACGGGAGGCAGCAGUAGGGAAUCUUCCACAAUGGACGCAAGUCUGAUGGAGCAACGCCGCGUGAGUGAAGAAGGUUUUCGGAUCGUAAAGCUCUGUUGUUGGUGAAGAAGGAUAGAGGUAGUAACUGGCCUUUAUUUGACGGUAAUCAACCAGAAAGUCACGGCUAACUACGUGCCAGCAGCCG
rnacentral:rRNA from 1 species